UACGUAGGAGGCGAGCGUUGUCCGGAUUUACUGGGCGUAAAGAGCGCGCAGGCGGCACACCAAGUACGGAGUGAAAUCUCCCUGCUCAACGGGGAGGGUGCUCUGUAAACUGGUGAGCUAGAGGGCGGCAGAGGGGGGGGUGGAAUUGCUGGUGUAGCGGUGAAAUGCGUAGAGAUCAGCAGGAACACCCGUGGCGAAGGCGGCCCCCUGGACCGUAAAAACGCUAAAUUACUAAAUUAUGAAGGAAGAAGGAAAGAAUUAUGAAAAGCUGCAAAGCAAU
rnacentral:rRNA from 1 species